AGCAACUCUUUAUUUUUUUUAUUUUAAUUAUUAUUUUUAAAACGAUGCUGUUCUACAGCUGAUAAAAAUUGUAACUGUUUAGGGGAUUGUCACCGGCAGCACAGAGCUGGAUUUUAGCUCGCAUUUGCCUUUCGGGCUUCUAAGAGACUGAAAUUUCAGUAAGUGGGCUCUGCUUCCAGGUAUCCCAUUUAAGACACUUAUUGGCAUGCAGCUCUCAGCUGGAGCAUAAAUCCCAAAUGCUUUUAUUACCUUAUAUUAAAGAACUUCAGAGCUGUUAAGGAUUUUUAGUUCAAGUUUUACUUGCAGUGUUAUCUCACCAGCCCUAAUUCCUGCUUUCAAAUGAUAAAUAAAGGCAAACGAACCAUAAAAGCAGGUUAAAUUCAGCAGCUUCAUGUAGAGAUUAAACCUCACAUUCAGCUAAUGUGUUUGUCCAGGAGCCAGACAGCAGGGAUUGUCAGCUACUCUCUCUGAACAUCACUAGAAGGGAACCUCUGGGGCUCUGAAAGCAGUAUCUGGCUAUUUGACUGUUCAAAACGCCAGUCCAGCUCAGUCACACAUAUCCUGCAUGAUUCAUCAAAUGCUUCCCAGUGAGGCGGGGUGGGGGGGUGGGGAAGAGAAGAAAAGAAAGAGAAAAUGAGGUGUGUGUCCAUGAACCGAGGUUUGUGCCGGGGGGAGGGGGGAGAAUGGAGCUACCUGCUCACACCAGAGCACUUCCCUGUGGCUUUGGGAAGGAGGGAAUCCCAGGAAGGUCCGUGCUGGUUCCUGCUCAUUACACCUACACUGGUAAGCAGCUUUGUGCAGAGAAAGAAGAUUUUUUUGAAUUCUGAGUGGGUGAAUUAAGCCUCAGAAAUGCCUGCAGACAGUAUACCUCUCCAUCCCCCACGCUGAUCACAGAGAUACAUGAGAAGAUUAUCAGAGCAGACUCAGCUCUGACCAACAUCCGAGGUACGACAGGAUUGUUUUACAAACGUUGCCUGCCAUCAAAACAUGAAAAAAAAAAGUGGUAAAAAAUUAAAUUUUUACCCCAGGCCAGUUGGGUUUCUUACUGACAUGCUGGCUACAUGUUUCACAGCCGUGCGGGUGCCGUGCCAACCUGCACCUGAGCGCAACCCCCCCGAGUACUGCAUGCAGCAAAGCUGGAAACUAUUUGCCUAUCAUGCUGCUCAGGGCUACUUUCUGCUCGGCCCUGCAACUCUCUGAACAUCUGCAGCCACUUCCAAUUGCCUCCUCCGGCCUCUCUGCACUGGGCACAAAUUGCACCGAAGACAAAGUGUAUUUGAAUUGAUCCUCCAGCCACCAAGCCUGAAAAUGCCUUGAGUCCUGGGGACACAGAGCAGCAUUUCUCUCAACUCCGGGUAUUUCGAAGCACAUGACUCGCUCCUGAGAGGAUCAGGGUGAGCGGAGAUGGCUUAAAGCAAAGCCAUGCUCAUAAAGGGCUCCCACAUCCACUUGGUGAGGACGGGCUUGCAGAGCUGCUUUCAGCUUAAAUUGAUGCACGGGGAAAAAGUGAAAGACACGAAUCAAAAACAACAACAAAAAAACACAACACAGUUCCUUUUGGUGACCUCAAAACCGCCUUGCUAAAAUAAGAAACCAGUCAUUUGUUAUUCAGAUGCAUCGAUCCAUAAACAGCUGACCAGCGGGUACCGAGAGAAACUAUGAAUUUCUGUGUUGCUUUCAUUAACUGAAAACCACAGGUAGCUGCUUGAAAGCCUCUUCUCCCUUUACGAUCUCCAGCAAAUAAAAAGUGCCCUCGGAAACGUGGCACAUCAGCAAUGAGCCAGGUGAUGCCCAGACUCCAGGGCCAGGUCAGGAUGCGCUGGGAUGCCAGCAGGAUGAGCUCCCCUACCUGCAGCAGCAAGUUGCACGAGCGCCUUGUACGAGGCGGAAAAGAGCUGAAAGUCUGCUCCUUUUAUUUUUUCUUCUUUUUCUUCUCUCUCUGUCUCGUGACAAAGCCAGUGGGUCCGAGCAGCUAUGGGAGACUGAUGCACAAGCCAGGGCACCAGGGGAUGCGGCCCCGCAGAGGGCCCGCCGCCAGGCUGCGAGCACCCGGGCGGCCCUGGGGAAAGGCCUGUGGGAGCGCGGCUCCAGCCCGCACAAAACCCAAGCCAGGCUGCCACGUAUCAGGAUCCUGCAUCACAGGUCCACAAAUGCGGGAAGCGCCGCUCGGAUGCGUAAACCAGCGCGCUCCAGGCUCUGCCCCGCGGCCCCUUCCCACUCGGCGCGGCUCCCCCCGUGCGCACACAAAGGCAGCAGAGCUCCGCGCAGCCCGCCCGCUCCUUCCUGCGAGGGAUUGCGCAAGGGGAGGUAUUUUUGGGUAGAGUUCCCAGAGGAAAUUACCCAACCUCUCUCCAAGACACCAGAAGGGAAACCUCUCGCCGAGGAGACCCGGGGAAAGCACCGGGGGCGACGGGGGCUCACCGACCCGGGGGCGCGCACAGCGGGGGCGCGCACAGCGGCGAAGGCGCUGCGAGGAGAAGUGCACCCACGUACCUCCCGGGGUGAACGCGACUUCCCAGCGCACGCAGGCACCACUGCCACUUCCCCCCGGCCCUUGUCGUCUGCUGAUUUCGGCUGCCUGCAGUGCUGCUUGGUGGGCCGCCAAGGCGCUGGUCUGUGGAGCUGGGCUCCUGUCCAGCGCGUGCGGAAUCUCCUCUGACGCACACUCAGAGGCUGCUCACAGGACCUCCAGAUAUCUGUUAUGGAUCAGUUAGCAAAAGGCAACCCCAGGAACAUGACUCUGAGCAGAGAAACCAUUCAUCAAGACUUACAGCUUUGAGCUGGGUACUUGUUGGGAAAGUUUCCGUGAUGCAGAGAGAGUGAGGCCUCAACUGCGACUCAAGAUAACCGGUACGUAACUACGCUGCUGCGCUGCACACAAGCAUGUCUGCCAGUCCACCAUGCCUGACGACUUGUAACUCUGAUUUUAAUCAAACUUGGCAGUUGGAAGAGAUCAUAAACAUCCAACAUGCACGCUGAAACAAGCCAUUGGGGUGCAACAGCGUGAAGGCUCGCUGAUAUGUGGUGAGACAUUCGUGGUUAGGCAUUAAAGUAUGAGGAGCAAGAGGGAGAUUAUAAGCCCCAUCACCCCAAAAGAGCAGCAAAGUCCUUGAGGGGCUCAGCAGGAUCCAGGACAGGACAUGAAUAUGUGUGAAAGAGGGGUUUGUGAGCGGCACAGCCAGCAGGAGGAUCCAUAGAGUCUGGUUUGUCACCCCAUGCCCUGCCAGUGUCUGUGUGCUGCCCAUGGGGGUACCACACAGUGCCCACAUGGACAGGCCCGUGCACCUGCUCUGGCAGUAUAGGACCAGGGGGCAACUCCUCGGCCCCUCUGCAGCCGUGGGUCACUGUGGCCUCCAAGGUGUGCGAGAUGCCAGGGAUGUCAAAUCAGUACUGGCUCUGCAGAAAGAAGUCCCAUGGGAGGCUAGA